GUGGGUUGAAAAUCUAUCCCCACCCUUGCCUUUGGCCGUGGCCGUGGGUGAGACUUGGCGCCCAGAGCCUCUAGGGACCUCAGCUCACCUCGCGCUACCCCACAUGCAGCGGUGAAACCCAGGCCUCUACAGGC